rnacentral:lncRNA from 1 species
GGGAAGCAAGCGAGCAUUUGGCCUCCCCUGAUAAAAAAAAGCAUAAAUAAAUAGCAAUCAGCGUUGAGCUAAACUGAGUGAGCUCAACUGGGAAUGGUCCUGGCGCACCAAAAACAAGUGACAAGGGAAGCGAGUUUGGAUUUGGCUUCACUCCUAUCACAGAGAAACACGUUGUCGAUAGAAACAACUUGAAUUGUUGAAUCUCGUUGUGUUGUUGUCCUCUGGUGACUAGCUAGCUAGCUCAAAUUAUGCCUUUACUAAAUUAGCCAUGGAUGGAGAUAGAGAUUUGGACUUGUGGUUUUAAUUAAUUAUCUGUACUGGCCAAUGAUUAUAACGGCGAUUCGGAUCCAACCAUAAAAUACAUUGUGCCCCUGGACUGAGAGGAUGGAAGUUCAAUAUAUAGUUAGAUGUAGAAGGCUAAUGUUAACUAGCUAACGUUGCCCAUGAAAGGAAGUUAGGCUAGCGAGCAAGCAUUUUAGCCAGGUAGCCUAGGACAACAAAAAAUAAAAGCAUGUACUAUAUGACAGUCAUAAAGAUGGCAUUGGCGUUUCUCUACAAGUAGGGGAUCCUCUGAACACAUCAACAUCUGCCUCCCAUGAAGCAUCGUUACCUAUCGCUCCACAAAAGCCACAGCCCUACUACUUCAAGGUCUCAGAGUAUGUGAUGCACUGGUAACUAGCUAACCAUUUCACACCAGUUAUACUUACCCCCUUUGACCUCCUCCUUCUCCUUCUAACAGUGUUGCUUCCGAGAGAGAGAGAGAGAGAGAGAGAUAAUUGCAUUGUACUUUAUUGUCUGAAAUGCUGUACCACUACACUGCUUUGGCAAAAUCUACAAAUUGUAUUUCAUGCCAAUAAAGCAAUCUGAAUUUCAGAGGAAAGCUUAGCCCUUUCUACCCUAUACCCAGUAUGCCCUACCUUACCCACAGAGAGAGACUACACCAGACAAUUCGGCCCUACCUAACCCAGAGACUAACCCAGCCCAGUCCACCCUAGCUCACCCAGAGAGAGACUAUAUCCCAGCCCAGUCCACCCUAGCUCACCCAGAGAGAGACUAUAGCCCAGCCCAGUCCACCCUAGCUCACCCAGAGAGAGACUAUAGCCCAGUCCAGUCCACCCUAGCUCACCCAGAGAGAGACUAUAGCCCAGCCCAGUCCACCCUAGAUCACCCAGAGAGAGACUAUAGCCCGCCCAGUCCACCCUAGCUCACCCAGAGAGAGACUAUAGCCCAGUCCAGUCCACCCUAGCUCACCCAGAGAGAGACUAUAGCCCAGCCCAGUCCACCCUAGCUCACCCAGAGAGAGACUAUAGCCCAGUCCAGUCCACCCUAGCUCACCCACCCAGAGAGAGACUAUAGCCCAGCCCAGUCUACCCUAGCUCACCCAGAGAGACUAUAGCCCAGCCCAGUCUACCCUAGCUCACCCAGCGAGAGACUAUAGCCCAGCCUAGUCCACCCAGAGAGAGACUAUAGCCCAGCCCAGUCUACCCUAGCUCACCCAGAGAGAGACUAUAGCCCAGCCCAGUCUACCCUAGCUCACCCAGAGAGAGACUAUAGCCCAGCCCAGUCCACCCAGAGAGAGACUAUAGCCCAGCCCAGUCCACCCUAGCUCACCCAGAGAGAGACUAUAGCCCAG